AGAAGACGUGUCACUUCAGAUCAACUGUUGGUGUUCACAGGUUGAGGUGUGGCACUAGAAUGAUACAGCCCUGUGAUGGCCUGGCGGCCUGUCCGGGGCAUCUCCCUGCCUUCCGUCCAACGACUGCAACCCCGCGACCCUGAGAGCACGAUAAGUGGAUACAGGUGCUCAGAAAUGGACAAAGAGGAUCAACAAGUGGUUAAAAGCGGGCAGAGCGGCCAAGAAAGGGAAAGCAUGAAGAGGGCGACUCUUCU